GAUGAACGCUGGCGGCGUGCCUAAUACAUGCAAGUCGUACGGAAAGGCCCUUCGGGGUACUCGAGUGGCGGACGGCUGAGUAACGCGUGGGAACGUGCCCCAAAGUGAGGGAUAACGCACCGAAAGGUGUGCUAAUACCGCAUAUGGUCUUCGGAUUAAAGCUUCGGCGCUUUGGGAGCGGCCCGUGUACGAUUAGAUAGUUGGUGAGGUAAUGGCUCACCAAGUCGACGAUCGUUAGCUGGUCUGAGAGGAUGAUCAGCCAGACUGGGACUGAGACACGGCCCAGACUCCUACGGGAGGCAGCAGUAAGGAAUCUUCCACAAUGGGGGCAACCCUGAUGGAGCAACGCCGCGUGCAGGAUGAAGGUUUUCGGAUCGUAAACUGCUUUUAUAAGUGGAGAAUAUGACGGUAACUUAUGAAUAAGGAUCGGCUAACUACGUGCCAGCCGCCGCGGUAA
rnacentral:rRNA from 1 species